UCCGGUUUAUCACCGGCAGUCUCGCUAGAGUGCCCAACUAAAUGCUGGCAACUAACAAUAAGGGUUGCGCUCGUUACGGGACUUAACCCAACAUCUCACGACACGAGCUGACGACAACCAUGCACCACCUGUCAUUCUGUCCCCGAAGGGAACACCCUAUCUCUAGGGUUGGCAGAAGAUGUCAAGAGCUGGUAAGGUUCUUCGCGUUGCUUCGAAUUAAACCACAUGCUCCACCGCUUGUGCGGGUCCCCGUCAAUUCUUUUGAGUUUCAGCCUUGCGGCCGUAAUCCCCAGGCGGAGUGCUUAAUGCGUUUGCUCCAGCACUGAAGGGCGGAAACCCUCCAACACUUAGCACUCAUCGUUUACGGCGUGGACUAC
rnacentral:misc_RNA from 1 species